GUAGCAAAAGUCCCUUUCUCUCUGCGUACAGGAGAUCUAGAACAAAACUUCACAGCAGGAUGUUGAAUCUUUGAAUACGUUCACUGUCCCACCACAUGUGAACAUAGGAUCCGAGGACCCCACAUCCUCUCCAGCACAAUGGUAAAAGUCCGGGUGUCCACAAAUUGGUAUCAAUGGGGAUAUCCCUGGCAUCAAUUAUUCCUUUCUAUAUUUCCAG